rnacentral:rRNA from 1 species
UACAGGGGAUGCAAGUGUUAUCCGGAAUUAUUGGGCGUAAAGCGUCUGCAGGUUGAUAUUUAAGUCUUGUGUGAAAUCUGGCCUCUCAAGGGUCAGGCGAGCACAGGAUACUGUUUGGCUAGAGACCGGGAGACGUAAAGAGUACAUACAGAGUAACGGUAAAAUGUGUUGAUCCUGUAUGGACUAACAAUAGCGAAGGCACUUUACGAGAACGGAUCUGACAGUGAGGGAUGAAGGCUAGGGGCGCAAAUUG